rnacentral:snoRNA from 1 species
AUCGUUCGGGUGAUGAACCAUUUCGGAUGUCAAAACACAAAUUGUCUCCGAGAGCGUUUAACCCCAUGUGGAGAUUGCCGUUGCCUUCCUUCUAAUAUCUAUCGA